rnacentral:tRNA from 1 species
AUUUAUGUAGUUUAAUAUAAAAUUAUAUAUUUUCAUUAUAUAGAUAAAUAAAAUUUUCAUAAAUU